rnacentral:rRNA from 1 species
ACGUAGGUGGCGAGCGUUAUCCGGAAUUACUGGGCGUAAAGCGCACGCAGGUGGUUACUUAAGUCUGAUGUGAAAGCUCCUGGCUUAACUGGGAGAGGUCGUUGGAAACUGGGUAACUUGAGGUGAUGAGAGGGGUGUGGAAUUCCCGGUGUAGUGGUGGAAUGCGUAGAUAUCGGGGGGAACACCAGUGGCGAAAGCGGCACCCUGGCAUUGACCUGACGCUCAGGUGCGAAAGCGUGGGUAGCGAACGGG